rnacentral:rRNA from 1 species
UGGGGAAUUUUGGACAAUGGGGGCAACCCUGAUCCAGCAAUGCCGCGUGUGUGAAGAAGGCCUUCGGGUUGUAAAGCACUUUUGUUCGGGAAGAAAAUAUCUGUGCGAAUAACAUGGAUAGAUGACGGUACCGGAAGAAUAAGCACCGGCUAACUACGUGCCAGCAGCCGCGGUAAUACGUAGGGUGCGAGCGUUAAUCGGAAUAAUUGGGCGUAAAGGGUGCGCAGGCGGUAAGCUAAGACGGAUGUGAAAGCCCCGGGCUCAACCUGGGAAUGGCAUACGUGACUGGCUCACUAGAAUAUGGCAGAGGGAGGUAGAAUUCCACAUGUAGCAGUGAAAUGCGUAGAUAUGUGGAGGAACACCGAUGGCGAAGGCAGCCUCCUGGGUCAAUAUUGACGCUCAGGCACGAAAGCGUGGGGAGCAAACAGGAUUAGAUACCCCCGUAGUCC